GGAAGUAAAAGUCGAACAAGGUUUCCGUAGGUGAACCUGCGGAAGGAUCAUUCAUAAUAAAGUGUUUUAUGGCACUUUUUAAAAAUCCAUAUCCACCUUGUGUGCAAUGUUAGAUCUCGUCAAUCUUGGCGAGAUUUUUAUACAUCAACUCAUUUUUUAACUAAUUUGUCUGAAAAAUAUUAUGAAUACUUAAUUCAAAAUACAACUUUCAACAACGGAUCUCUUGGCUCUC
rnacentral:misc_RNA from 1 species